GAAAAUUCCAUCCUGGGUGAGGUAACCCAGAAUCAAAAGGACAUACAUGUUAUAAUUUCUACAAGAAAGAAAUUCUUGCAGCAAUCAAAGACUCAUGUGAAGAAGUACAGAAACAUGAGCAUGAACCCCAACAUAAUAUGAACACUCCAAAAAUGAAGCCGAAGAUUAUGUGACCUCCAUAUCCAAGCCCCAGC